ensembl:lincRNA
GGAAAAAUACAUAAAUUCACAAUUCAUUUGGAGAUUUAAUGCAAUCCUUUGGGGCAUUAGUAGAUCAAAUAUCAUUAAUUGAGUAAUUUAGGCUCAACCUACAGUGCACAUUUUUUUUUGUUUGUUUGAGACAGAGUCUCGCUCUGUCGCCCAGGCUGGAGUGCAGUGGCACGAUCUUGGAGUGCAUGUAUUUUUUGAUAAGGAAUAUUUAAUAUCCAAAUUCAUUUCUGAACUACUCCACAAGAAAGUCUGAAAAUAUAUUCCAUAGACGAAUCAUCAUAUGCACUAUGCUCUUCAAGAAUAAGGCAAUGAAACAGCUAUGCCAGAGAGACCAUGACCUUAUAAUUUACAGCAUAGUGUUGAGGAGAUCUUUAAAAAAAUGAUAAAAAGAAAGAGAUGGAUAAAGACAUACAGAUACCCAAAGGAUGCAGAGAGAAAAAGAUGGAACAAGAAUAUAUGUGAAAGACUACAAACAAUGGCAAGCACAGAAGAGCAAAAGAAAGAAAGAAAGGGUAACAGAGAAAGCAAUAGAGGAAGAAUAUGAAGCCAUGUUAAUCUGAAUGUGGGCUCUUUUAUACCAAGAAUCUACUCCAAGGCUGAAUAUUAGCUCACUUUUAAGAAUCAAAGUUGUGGAUUUCAUAGGAUCCAACCACACUCAGGAAGAUGAGAUCACACAAGGAUGUGGACAUAUGGAUGUGAGGAUCAUAGAGGCUACCAUAAGGGUUAAUCCACUACAAGUGUAUUUGUCAAGAAAAUUUGACCAGCCAUGUAAUUUCACUCCUUCCACACAUACUUUGAUGUGAACAGGAAGUAUAAAAGAGCAGUGCAAAGAGUGGACUGUACCGGAUACUGUCAGAGACUUCCAAAGUAUCCUUUUUUAACUGGCGCAUACCUCCCCCAGGUGCUGUCAGUGUAGUAUAUUAACAAAUCAUAGCUGCCUUAUUUUCUAGAAAAUUGUUCUUGGACAAACAAGUCUUAGUCUGG